GGAGAGGUGUCCGAGCGGUCGAAGGAGCACGCCUGGAAAGUGUGUGUACGCCAAAAGCGUACCGAGGGUUCGAAUCCCUCCCUCUCCGCCA
rnacentral:tRNA from 1 species